rnacentral:rRNA from 1 species
UACAGAGGGUGCGAGCGUUAAUCGGAAUUACUGGGCGUAAAGGGCUCGUAGGUGGCCAACUAAGUCAGACGUGAAAUCCCUCGGCUUAACCGGGGAACUGCGUCUGAUACUGGAUGGCUUGAGUUUGGGAGAGGGAUGCGGAAUUCCAGGUGUAGCGGUGAAAUGCGUAGAUAUCUGGAGGACCACCGGUGGCGAAGGCGGCAUCCUGGACCAACACUGACACUGCGGAGCGAAAGCCAGGGGAGCAAACGGG